CACGAUCACUCUAAGAGGACAUUCGCCUUGGACACACCCAGUAGAUACUGGCUCACUAUCCUGUCAUCCAGGAUCAACUCCUAAGGCUAUCCCUUUUUGCUGAUAGCCUUAGCGGUUGUCAGCGACCUCAAUUUUUCCCGUCGC
rnacentral:misc_RNA from 1 species